rnacentral:piRNA from 1 species
CUUGGACUUUCUCACCCUGGGGCA